rnacentral:rRNA from 12 species
GUAGAGUGGCCACACUGGAGUGCAAGUACCCAAUAGCGUCUGUCCUGGAAACUAAGCGGGGCUGUGCCUGGUUAGUACUUGGAUGGGAGACCAACUUGAAAGACCAGGGGCUGCCAACC